CCGGCAACUUGAGAACACAUUGUU
rnacentral:siRNA from 1 species